UUUCAGUCAGACAGUGAAUAUGUAAAUAUACUGCACACACACCCACAAGGUGUUAAAUUAUUUCCAUGUGGUCAGUUUGGGUAACUGUCAACACCUCGUUCAAGAGCCCAACCCUGCUCAGGCAAUCUCCAGGAAGCUACUCAGCGUUAAACUGGUGCAUUAAAUACAUCACGGACAAACGUUUGUGACGUACAAAGAGAAUGUGGACAAACGACCAGGUAAAUCGUGAACCGUGUUCUAUCAUAUUUCCAUCGUGGGAGAAGAAGUGGAGGUGGACGAUGAGCAUGAACACAUUCGUGUUCGUCUGGAUGACAGACUGGAGACACAACAUUACGGACGUCUGCAAGAAAGAAGAGAGCAGAGUUCACUUCUUAGAGAAGCUUUGAUCCUUCAAGGUUUGCUUCAAAAUUCUGCAGAUCUUUAAUAACAGAGCGUCAUCUCUUCUGCAACAUCAGAACCACGGAGUUAAGAAAAGUAAGCAACCCGAUAAAGAAGGCUGGUUCUGUUCUGAGGACUACAGUAGGACCUCUGGAGAUGAUGAUGCAAAACAAAGCACAAGGACAACCCUGAGCAUCCUCUUCAUCAGACUGUCAUACAACAGAGGACUGAAAUAAAGACCACAGACAUCAACAUCUACAGCGACUCCUCAAAGGAAACCUGGACAAUAUGAGCCAGUUGGCUCAAGAUCUCAUAAAUGAAUCUUUUGCUAAGUCUAAAUGAAACUGACCCGAUUGCAACCAGAGCUCUUCUGCUGAGAUUAACAAUGGAGAGUCAAACCUUACAUGAAAUCCAUCCUCCUACCCAUUCAGAAAAGAACCUCUAGUAGAACCCGGCUCAGAGUGAGCACUUUAAGACGGAGCAGAGACACAAAAAAGAAAAAGAACUGCUGUAAAAACUCUAUGGUUUCUUAGAGUUCCCA